rnacentral:rRNA from 1 species
GGGGAAUCUUCCGCAAUGGACGAAAGUCUGACGGAGCAACGCCGCGUGAGUGAUGACGGUCUUCGGAUUGUAAAGCUCUGUCUUCUGGGACGAUAAUGACGGUACCAAAGGAGGAAGCCACGGCUAACUACGUGCCAGCAGCCGCGGUAAUACGUAGGUGGCAAGCGUUGUCCGGAUUUACUGGGCGUAAAGGAUGUGUAGGCGGAUACUUAAGUGAGAUGUGAAAGCCCCGGGCUCAACCUGGGGACUGCAUUCCAAACUGGGUAUCUAGAGUGCAGGAGAGGAAAGCGGAAUUCCUAGUGUAGCGGUGAAAUGCGUAGAGAUUAGGAAGAACAUCAGUGGCGAAGGCGGCUUUCUGGACUGUAACUGACGCUGAGGCAUGAAAGCGUGGGGAGCAAAC